CCUACGGGAGGCAGCAGUGGGGAAUAUUGCACAAUGGGGGAAACCCUGAUGCAGCGACGCCGCGUGAGUGAAGAAGUAAUUCGUUAUGUAAAGCUCUAUCAGCAGGGAAGAAAAUGACGGUACCUGAGUAAGAAUCCCCGGCUAACUACGUUCCAGCAGCCGCGGUAAUACGUAGGGGGCAAGCGUUAUCCGGAUUUACUGGGUGUAAAGGGAGAGUAGACGGCAGUGCAAGUCUGUAGUGAAAGGCGGGGGCUCAACCCCCGGACUGCUCUGGAAACUGUACGGCUGGAGUGCAGGAGAGGUAAGUGGAAUUCCUAGUGUAGCGGUGAAAUGCGUAGAUAUGAGGAGGAACCCCAGUGGCGAAGGCGGCUUACUGGACUGUAACUGACGUUGAGGCUCGAAAGCGUGGGGAGCGAACAGGAUUAGAUACCCCUGUAGUC
rnacentral:rRNA from 1 species